GUGAAAAAACCAGCACUGUAGAUAAAGAGCCUGGUUCUGCUCUCCGUUGCACUGGUGUAAAUCUGGAGUGACUCCACAGAAGCUGGUCGGUAACAGGCAUACAGUUGCAGCCCCUGAGGAAUAGUUAACUACAGGUGCUGAACCCCAGUCAGACUUGCUGGGAAAUCACAGUGUGGUGCAGAGGGAUUGCAAGCCGAAAGCCAUAUCUGGAGGGAAAAAGAUUGUCACCACUAUGUAUUUCAAGCUUCUUGAGGUGUGGUGGCAUGUCCUUGCCAAUCCAGUCUGCCAAGCCACCACCAUUCAAGUACAUCUAUAAAUCUAUUCCUUCUAUGAAGCCUACAAGAG